rnacentral:tRNA from 1 species
GACAACGUGUCCGAGUGGUUAAGGAGAUUGACUAGAAAUCAACUAGGCUCUGCCUGCACAGGUUCGAAUCCUGUCGUUGUCG